AGCUAUUAAAAGGUGUCACUAAAAAGUCUGACAAUAGUUCUUUCAAGACUUGAAAAAUUAGCUACACAGUGGCUCAAGAGGUGUAAUUUAUUUUAAGGUCACCUAGGAUUAACAUGUCUAUUAGCGGGGUGAAAGUCCGGGUACAUCUGCACAGGAUCACACUUCCGAUACAAAAGAUAUAAGAGAUAAGAGUCCUGUCCUUGAAGAGACGCACACACCUGAGAAAUUUACCUGAACCCC
rnacentral:lncRNA from 1 species